CAGAUUUGCUUGGAAGUAAUCUGUCAGCACAGCUGAAUGCAAACAUACCAAAGUACGUUUUCGAUCAUCAUAACAGAAAUGUAGUUAUCGAGAUCCAACAGAAGCAAAAUACUCAUGUUGGGAUAGCUUGACUGAAACUAUGUCCAAGAACGGUGAAAUUGAAAAGGUAGAAAACCAGAGAUAAAUGGGUUGCUUAAGGUAGCAAGAAACCUGACUAGCAGUAGCACUUCAGCUGAAACUGAUUCUAGACGGCAAUUAGCAUAUGAAGCAGCCUGUUGGAUCAGCUUCAUUUUCCAUCCUAGAGUGUCCUCCGGUAUUUUAUUUAGUAUGUUCUACAGUGAAAUUAUAGAAUUUGAAAGCCACAUUAAUUAAAUAUAAGCAGAAAAUUAAAUCAUUUCUACUGCUCGUCCCCCUUUCUCCUGGCUUGAUAAAAUGGGACAUAGUAGCGGGACGCACAAAAAAGAACGGUACAUACCGAAUGCUUCAGGAAUGAUGAUAUAUUACUUGUUAAUCUGUUUAGUGCUUCUAAAGGAUGUCUUCCACUUUUCAUGCUACUCAAUGCCAUGUCAACUUCAUUGUCUGCCCUCAUGAUCAGGAAGAACAGAAGAAGCGGAUGCAGAGUUAUUAAACAGGAAAUGUGACAACUUAUGGCAAAGUACAGAAAUUAAAUGAUGAAAACUGGAAAGCAGUCCUGUAGUUAUCAGGUUAUUUCAGCCAAUUAAAUGUUUCAUUAUGCUUGGUUAUUUUCGUUCUUACAUAUCUUUUUCUAAAUCUUCUGUGCUGCAACUUAGGAAAUACUUACCAAUAUUGUAGUUCAGAAGAGAUGUAAUUGCAAUCCGUGCACGAUCCGACAACGGGCUGGAAACCGACAGGAGCUGUUUUAUGUCUGAUUUCUCAAAUGAUGUUGCUUUUCCAGGGAAAAAAGGAAAAUAAAGUUAGGUAUCACAAAUUUUAUUCAUGCAACAGCAGAUUUAUUUGGAGAUAUACCUGGAUUAACCAGUACCAACACCAAAUCGAUGCAAGGAUUACGAGCAGCUACUGCAAGUGCUAUGCAUCCUCCAAAAGAAGUCCCCAAAAGGUAGAUGGGCUUAUUAGGUGAAGUGGCAUGCUCUGCUCUCACAACAUCCUCUACCAUUUCAACAAGUUCUGAAAAUGAAAAACAGCUAAAACCAUGCAAUCUGAGAACUUCACAUUAUCUGUUAUUCGCUCUAAAUAAUGAAAUAAGUUUAAAAAUUCAUGUAUGGAUGGAAAUACUUCAAACAGAAAUUAAUUCACAGAUAUGUUGAUACCUUCAAAUGGCGUGCGGUCGUGGAAGGGAAUGUGCAUACAUCUUAGUUCAAAAAUCCUGUGAAUUCAAAGACAACUUGUCUAGUAUUAUUACGGAAGUCGUAAAAAUUGAACCCAUGUAGUAUCAUUGUAAUCUAAAUUGCCUAUAAUCAACUCCUAUAAAAUUGUGAGCUCUCAUCAUAUUCUAAGAGAAGGCCUGAUAAAAAUUGCAGACAAGUGAAAGUAUCUAGAAGUGAUCUCACCUUCCAAGUGCCUUGUGGUGCAUGAAGAGCCCCAUCCCCAUACCAUCUACCCCUGAAAAGUUUCCAAUCCAAAUCAAAUCAAAUAAAGGCUAAGCUGCAGGACAAAACUAUUGAGGAUUCUACAACACAAACAUUCGGUAUAACUGUACCGGG
rnacentral:lncRNA from 1 species